rnacentral:snoRNA from 1 species
AUCCUCAUCUGUAUGAGAAUGGGCACAGUUGCUCAUAGUGUUCAGAAUUGUUGAUAUGGCUAAAUCAAGACAUAGGUUAUGCUUCCAAAACAGUAAAAUUUAUUGCUGUGUUGUCAGUGAGACCUGUAACAUUU